GUGGGGUUGUAUUUCUGUUUUUCCCAGAUUAACCCUGAAUUACUGGACUCAAUUGAUCUUUUCUACAUCAGCAUCCUGAGUAGCUGGGACCAUAGGUGUGCAUCAUCAUCAUGCCUGGCUAUAAAUGCAACACUUAAACAACAGUAUAAGGUAGUAUCUAAUGACAUGAAUACCACAGAUAAUGAAUGUAUAUGAAUUCACAGAAGGAUGAAAGCAGUGUACCUUCAAAUGGUUAUAGGAAAAAGCCAAAUUUGAUAUACGUCUUUUGAAUUAAUAGAAACUAGGGCUGUUUAAAAUGAGAUAAUUCUAGGGGGAUAGUUCAGAUGUUGAAUGAAAGAGGCUGGGAGGCCAUCCUGCCUGGAAUGGAGAAUUUUAUUUGUGAGUAGCAGGAAUCUGAUUGAAACAGUACAUUGACACCAAGUCAUGGCGAACUUUAAAUUCCUUAUUUUAUAUCUUGUAGGUUCUGGUGAAUCACUAAGGGGUGCAGGUGUGUGUAUGCUGGAGUUUGACUAGAGAGCUUACACAUGCUAGGCAAGCAUAUUUCUGACUACUGUACCUUCACCCUGCCAGAGGGAUUUUCUUAAUGUCUCCUCUACCCUCACCUUUAUGUCUUCCUGCUGAACUUGCAUCUUAAAGAGGGUAUUUCUCCAUGCGCUAGCUCUUCUCCCAAGUAGGUGUUUGUUGAUACCAUUGGUAUGGUUCAGUCUUCAUUUUAGGUAGGUGUCUUACUUUCCCUUGGAACUCACUUGGAACUUUUUCAGUGGUUCUUUAAGGGUAGAGGACUUUGGUUUGGUUGGUUUUGUUUCAUUUCCCUUAAUCAACUACAGUAGGUCUUUGCGUUUUUCCUGAGAGCAAUAGCAUUGACUGCCUUUUUUCCCUUACCACUUAAGACUUUUCCUAUAGGAGAGGUGGGCAAGAAGAAUCCAGGUAGGUUUUGGUAUUUUUCCCAAAGGAGCUUCCAUUCUCUUCCAAAUGUACCCUAGUCGUUUUUUUUCAGCCUGCAUUGAGGUCUUUGGAGAAGAUUCCUAUGGGUGAGUGAGAAUCCUAUUGUUUCUGUGGUUACCAAGGGUUUUAUAUUGUCAUAGUAGCCCAUGUUUGGCCUGUAGUAAUUUUAAAAUAAUUUUAAUUUUGAUUAAAAUUCUUCUGACUGACUUGUAUGAUAUCCAUUGUUUACUAUAGGUAAGGAAGUGUCCUCAUGUCUCAUCUUUCCUUUGAGAAGUCUUGUCUUUCCUUAAAUUUGAGGUAGUUGUUUGCCCUUAAAAUUUUAGGUAUAUUGCUAUGAAAUGUGUAAAAAUCACAAAAUUUCCUGAACCCAGCAAGAAAGUAAGGGUUUUGGAAAUUUUGUGAUUUUGCACGUUAUCCACCCACCAUUCAUUCAUUCAUUCGUUUAGUAGUGCAGAAGAUUAAAUAGUUAAGUAAUUUACUAAUUUUACCAAAGUAUUGAUAAGAACUGCAAUAGGAGUAUAUAGAAGAGUAUAUAUAAUCUUAAAUAAUUAAUGUUAUGGUUUGGAUCUGGAAUGUCCUCCAUAGACUCAGGUGUUAAUAGUUGGUGCCCAGUUGGUGCUUUGGGAGGUGGCUACUAACUGGAAGGUGUUGAUCACUGGUGGUAUAUCCCUGAAGGGUCCAUUUUUUCGAUUUCUUCCCUCCCCAGUUCCUGGCAGCUGUGAGAUAAGCAGCACCUGCUCCACCUUGCACUCUUCACUGGGUAAUGUUAUACCUCACCAAAGGCCCAAAGUGACAGGACCAAGUAAUCAUGGUGUGAAAUCACCAGCCAAAAAUAAAAUCUUUCCUAAGUUGAUUUUCUCAGGAAAUUUGUGAGAGAGAGAAUAGAGGAGAUUAGUAAAGAUGGGAAGUUGUAGGAAAGUAAAAUAGGUAGAAGGAAGAGACCAUGUGGUGGCUAAUAUGUAAAACAAACAAACAAAAACCCUGCAAAACAGAUAUGGAAAGUUUGAAAAGCUGAAAGAUGCCCACUAUGGCUAAAUGGUAUACAAGGACAGAAGUGACAGAAGGUAAGAGUGGAGAAAAUUGACCAGAGCCAGGAUAAAACAAGUCUUGUAAACCAUGUUAAGAGGUUGAUUGUUAUCAUAAAAAUAUUGGGGAGUCGUUGAAUGGUUUUUAUUGAGGGGGAUAGCUAAGCAGGGAAUUAUUUUUAAACGGUCAUUCUGGAUGCAAGGUGAGGAGUGAUGGAAAGGAAGCUAAGACAGAGAGAUGGCCUGUUACCACAAUAUAGGGAUUUGUAUGUGUUGGUUUAACCUGGAGCAGUGACAUUAGGGAUAGGGAGAAUUAACCCAGGUUAAAGAGAUAUUUAGGUAUGACGGUCAGUAGAACUUGUCCAUUGAUUGAAUAUGGAGGUCAAGGGAGAAGGAAGACUUGCAGUGUAUUCAGUAAAAGUCUUGGUAUGUUGCUUCAGUUUUCCUUUCUUCCUUGAGAGAGAGACUAGAAUAAAAACAUCCUUGGUUGACUUCACCAUUCAUGACCCAUGGUUCAAAAUUUAUUGAGGUUUUGGGUGGAAGUAAGUCAGAAAAGGAAAAAAAAAACAUUUAAAUAAUUUGUAACGUCAUUUGAAUACAGGUCUUUUGCCUGAUUAUCUUUCAGUGUUGAGAAAAACAGAAGACAGUUUGGUUCUUUCAGUUUUGAUGUUUAGCCACUUGGCUUGUAAACAAAUAAAAUCUGGAAAAUGGCUUCCUUACCCUUUUUGAACAAAAAUAGCAUAAAAUUGAUCUUUUCAAAUAGCUGUUCCAUUUAGAUAGAUACUUAACACAUUUAAUCACAUAACUUCCUUGUUUUUCCCAGAUGGUUUUAUUCAGCAUUUGGUGUGGUGAAUAUUACAUAAAUAUUUACAACCUGUGUUUGAGAGUUCUAGUCUUCCAAAACUCCAGUCACCUAAGAUCAUGACCACUGCCACUGACAGCUGUGACAAGUUUUAUACAGAACACAGCUGUGGAUGCCAGCAGUAUUUUUAUGGUAUGUGGGGGGGAAAUACAAUUUUCAGAAA
rnacentral:lncRNA from 1 species